rnacentral:sRNA from 2 species
UAAACAUCUAGUUAGGUGAGGCUACUACGUGGAUACAUGCUGCUGCUCAGAAAAGUCGAGAGACUCCAACGAGUCAACAGAUACUACCGAAUCAAGGUUUUAUCUAAUGCAGCCGGGUUUACCCUAUGCUACGCAGUGCUAAAGCUCAACGUAUAGAGAUGGGUU